GCAAUUCUGACAUUCUACCCGCACGCGAAGGAGUACGGUCUCUGUAUCUGUAUAUAAAUGCCCAAUUCUUUUCUCUUGCGUUAAUCUCAGGCAGUCUCUCUAACUUUUCACAAGAUUCAUCUCUCUGGUAUGUUUCACCGUAAUUAUAUGUGAUGCAUGCCUACUUGCAUAAAUGUAUUAAUGCAUUAAUGUAUUUUCGUUGUAAUGUUCUUUUUACAGGUUUUUUUUGACGGAAAUUUGUUUUUCGACCCGAUGUUUGUUGUUUUUAUUAAUAUCUAAUUCGAAUUUAUAAGAAAUGAGAUCUUUUUUCGAUAGGUUUGAGCUAAUAUUUAGCAGAUUUAGGGUCGUGUUAUUGUUUUGUGGAAUUUUUGUCAUGUUCUGAUUUGAUCUGAAGAUUUUUGCAUCUCAUUAUCACGAUUCAUAUACUUAUCCACCCUUUAUUGAAUUACUAGUUCGAGAAUGGAGAUUUUAAUUUUUUUCUAAUGUUUUUUCCUCUUAGAUCUAUUUGAUCUGGUGAAAUUUUAUACUGAAAAUGGUUUAUAAUGUUAUUAACUGUAAGUUUUAGGCAUUUUCCUCUUAUUUGUUUGCAACACUGUCAUUUUUUGUAUGUGUGAUUAAAUAUCAUGUAUGUAUUGUGGAAUGUGGAUUGAUUUCAUAAGAAAAUCAAAUGCCAAGGAAAGCAACAUGAUAUGACCUAUUGUUGUUUUGUGAAGAGUUGCUUGAUGUGAUGUAAUGUGUGUGUAUAGUUGAAUAUAUAACGCUAUUCAUCCACAAGCUAUACAUUUAAAUUCACAUGCAUCUACAUAGCUGAUUGGUGUGGUAUGCAGUUAAUGUCGAUCAUUGUAUGUGUACACCGUUGGGUGUUGAAGGAAAGAGGUUAUGAAAGAAUAGGAGAUUUUACUUAUGGAAUUUGAGAGUUUUACAAACUGAAUUCUCUUUUUUUCUUUUUUCUUUUUUUAAAUUUUUACAUUUUUCCCCUUUUUUUACACUUCUCAUAUCUCAUCAACAUUAGAUACAUACCUUUCCCUUAUAGAGAAAAUGAAAUAAUCUAAUUCUAAGAAUUUUCUACCAUUAUGACAAGAUACUAGUUGUAAUUUAUCCUCACUUGUAGCUGUAUGUGUUCUCUAGAUUGUUCAAAGCUGCUGAUUGCAGCUGAUUUUCAAUGUUCUAAUAUUCAAUUUGAGCAUAUAAAUUGAAUUGUAAAUCUUUUCCAUUUGACCCUUCCUUGAAUCUUCCAAAGUUAUUGAAGUGUUCUAAUUAAAUUUGAAUUCUUUGAAGAUUACAAAUUAAUUUAAAACUUUUAACACCCCUCUUAAUUUGUAAUCUUCAAUUGCUUCUUGAAUUUCUCGAACUUAUUAAUUGUCACUAAUUCAAAAAUUUUCGAUAGUAUUGCCUAUGCCUUCGUUGGGAAAAUAUCACUCAUUCUUCCAUUGGGGACAGGUGCACGAAUGACAACUCCAAUUGUCACACAUCCGCCGCCUACCUACCGUUUAGGUGAUGAGUCUAAAUAAUAGCGUUUACAAAAUCUAGAUAUAGACAAAAUUUACAAUUUCUCGAGAUGUGUUUAACGAAAGUACAACUUGUGAUUGGAAGAGCAAUCAAGUCAGAUUCCGGACCAUAUCAGUUUGGUGAUCCAUCGACAUCUCAAAAUUUUGACAUUGAGCAACAUUUAGCUCCAAAUAUUCCAACAAUUGAAGAAGAAUAAGAAACCUCUCCAAAAAAGACACGUUCACUAAGAGAAAUCUAUGAAUUACAUAAACUCAGAUUAUUCUCUUGUGAGCCUCAUCUUUGAAGAAGUUUUAAAAGAUAAAAGUUAGACAACGGUAGUGAAUGAAGAAAUUUCCACUAUCGAGAAAAACAAACCUUGAGCUCGUAGACUUUUCAAAAGAAAAGAAGACCAUUGGUCUUAAAUGGGUAUACAAAAUAAAAUACAACCAAGACAGAUCAAUUCAAAAAUAUAAAGUACAAAUUGUCGCCAAAGGAUAGUCUCAACACCCAGAAAUUGAUUUCACAGAAACAUUCACUCCAGUUGUAAGAAUAGAGACGAUCCAUACAAUUAUGGCUUUAGGGCCACAAGUGGAGCUCAAUGUUUUCCAGCUUGAUGUAAAAUCAGCAUUUCUAAACGUCUAAAUACAGAAGAAGUAUAUGUCGAGUAACAUGAAGGUUUUGUAGUCAAAGAAAAAGAAGAUAAAGUUUAUCAUCUUCAAAAGGCAUUAUAUAGCUUCAAACAGGUACCCCGAGCAUGGAAUAGCAAAAUCAACAGCUAUUUUCUUCAAAAUGGUUUCAAGCAAAGCACAAGUGAAUCAUCCCUCUAUGACCAUAUCGAUAGUGAUUGGUAGGAUUGGUUGAUGAUCGGAAAAGCACUUCUAGAUACAUCUUUUGCCUUGGAUAAAAUGUGAUUUCCUUUAGCUCAAUAAAGCAGAAAUUUGUUACUUUACCGUCGAUAGAAAUAGAGUACAUCGUCGCUAUAGAUUUAGCUUGUGAAGCAGUUUGGCUUAGAAGAAUUUUGAAAGAUUUAAAAUUUGAGCAGAAAGGACCACAACAAUUUAUUGCGAUAAAUGAACAAUUGCAAUGUAAAAAAAAAAAAAAAAAAUCAAUUUUCCAUGCUAGUUCAAAGCAUAUUGAAUUUUGACAUCACUUUAUAAAAGAUCUGGUAAAUCAAGAAGAAAUUUGCAUGAAAUUUAUAACUACCAACGAUCAACCGAUUGAGGUAAGUUGACAAAAUCAGUGACGAUUGAUAAGUUCGAGAAAUUCAAAAAUCAUUUGAAGAUUACAAAUUAAGAGGGAGUGGAGUGUUAAAAGUUCUAAAUUAGUUUGUAAUUUUCAAAGAAUUCAAAUCCAAUUAGAACUUUUCAACAAAUUUGAAACAUUCAAAGAAAGGUGAAAUAGAUAAGAUUUACAAUUCAAUUAUAUAUUGAAGCUGAAUAUUCAAAGAUGUAAGUUAGAAUUUUGAAAAACAACUACAGCUUUGAAUAUUUUGGAAAACACUUAUAGCUGUAAAUAAGGACGAAGACAGCUCCAAAUGAAGAAGAUAAAAUAUAGUUGUUAUCUUAUUGUAAUGAUAGAAAAUUCUUAGUCUCCAUUUUCUCUAUAAAAGGAAGGGAUGUAUUAGUUUGAUAAGAUAGGAGAAAUGUAAGAUAAUCUUCGUAAAAAAAGAAAAAAGAGAGAGAAUUGAGUGUGCUGUAGCAACUCACUUGUAAAACUUCCAAAUUUCAUAAUUAAAAUCUCCCUUUUUUCAUAAACUCUUUCUUUCAACACCCAACAAAUUUGGUAUUAGAGAAUAGGAAGAAAAUAAAAGUCAUAUCCAAUCAAAGACAAAACAAAAUCAACACUAGAGCCCCCUGGGCAUGGCGCAGUGGUAAAGCAGGAAGAUACUUUAUGGAGGUUCAAAUUUCUAAAGCAGCUAGAAAGCAACAUUUAUGUUGGAAGGUAGAUAUCUUGCGGAAACAAAUUCAUAGUGCACCUUGUCACCCCUUCGAGGUCCAUCUGCACGUCAUAAGGGGGGUCCAUAGUGAUGAGAACCACUUCUCGAAUAUUUGGUCCAAGUGUGUAUAAGCUGUGAACGCAUUCGAUUUACUUGAAUAGCAAAGCAAAGGAAAAGGUCAACACUCCUUAGAAUUAGUCAGGCGAAGUUCGGAUACCUGAGUCAUAAAAAUAAUAAUAAUAAUCAACACUAAAGACUUUCCUUCCUUCUAUAGAAAAAAUGGAGUAAUCUAGUUUUAAGAAUUUUCUACCAUUACAACAAGAUAAUAGCCGUAUUCUAUUCUCAUUUGCAACUGUGUUCUUUAUUUGGAGCUCCAGAAUGUUCGAGGCUAUUGCCUGGAGCUGAUUUUCAAAGUUCUAGCUUGCAUCUUUGAUUAUUCAACUUGAAUAUAUAAAUUGAAUUGUAAAUUUUAUCCAUAUGGCCUUUCUUUGUAUCUUCCUAAGUUGUUGAAGUAUUCUAAUUGGAUUUGAAUUCUUUGAAGAUUAUAAAUUAAUUUAAAACUUUUAACAUAUACAACAUAAUUCAUCAAAAAACUUCCAAAUAUAGAUUCACGGGUGUAUUUGUGUAACUUUGACAGGGGGCAAUGUUAUUUAUACAAUAAUGAUCGUGGUAGUGUGUCACAUGAUUCUUGGGAGGCCUGUAUAAUUGAUAUUCCCAUUGUUUAUCCAAAGAUGUUGGUAAUGGAUAAUUAGUGCUGACCAAAAGUGACUGAGGCAUAUAAAAUGGAUUAGAUCUCUAAUUAUUUCAUGGUAUUAUCAGAUUUUAAAUUAGACUAGACACAAUUUAAUGUUAUGAAUAUCUAGUUUUGCAAAUAAGUGGUGCAAAUAAUAUGCAUCCCACAGUUUCAUGGCACCUGUAUUAAUGUGGUGACCCGGUGGACUAUAAACAUAAUAACCAUGUGUAGCUGUAGCCCGUUGUUGUUCAUGUAAUGUUGAUUGGAUGCAAUAAUGUGCAGGGAUCAAAAGCAAGAAGGAAAAAUGGGGCUGACAUUCACAAAGCUGUUUAGCAGGCUUUUUGCUAAGAAGGAGAUGCGUAUUCUGAUGGUUGGUCUGGAUGCUGCUGGUAAGACCACCAUUCUGUACAAGCUCAAGCUUGGAGAGAUUGUCACUACCAUUCCUACAAUNNUUUUUUUUUUUUUUUUGUAUACCUCCUGUGAUGUAGUGUAAUUGUUAAAGCUGAGGCUACCCUUUAGUUCUUUUGCUCGAUUAUGAGUUGAAUACUGCUUAAUUUGUAUUUUUGGGGCUUUAUUAUUUUUGUGCAGGUUUUAAUGUCGAGACUGUUGAGUACAAGAACAUCAGUUUCACUGUUUGGGAUGUUGGUGGUCAGGACAAGGUGGGGAAAUUUUGUAUGUCUGUCUGAUUACUAUGCCUUCAUAAAAAUACAUGAAAUUAAAAUCAGGGUUCUAAAUUUUGACAUGAUCAACUUUUCCCUUUCUUCUCUCAUUUUUGGUGAUCCUUAUCAUCAUUGGUAUGGUAAAAGAAUACAAGGAUUAAUGUAUCCUGUAAUNUUAAAAUCAGGGUUCUAAAUUUUGACAUGAUCAACUUUUCCCUUUCUUCUCUCAUUUUUGGCGGUCCUUAUCAUCAUUGGUAUGGUACAAGAAUACAAGGAUUAAUGCAUCCUGUUAUCUUGUCCUUGGUGGAGCUUCUUGAAGUAGUCAUUUAACUAAUUCAUCCAUGUUUGCAGAUUCGUCCAUUGUCGAGGCACUAUUUCCAAAACACGCAGGGUCUCAUAUUUGUUGUGGAUAGCAAUGACAGGGACCGUGUUGUGGAGGCAAGAGAUGAGUUGCAUAGGAUGUUGAAUGAGGUAACAAAUUUUUCUAUCUUAACUCUGUUUAUUUGUUCAUUUUUUUAACUCCCAAGGCUACUGCUGGAUGUGAAAUAUGAGUCAAAAAUAGAAGCUCUUUUAGGCUGAGUCUAGGAGAUUGAUCAUUUAUGCAAAAAAAAUAAAAAAUAAAAAAUGGGGAAGUUUGAUUGUCUUUUUGAUAGACCCCUUUCUUCACUUCAAUGAGUAAUUGUUUAUAAAACAAGCAAUGUAGUGUCCAAUAAAUUGCAUGAUGUGGACAUGUGAUAUUGGUUAACAUGAUUCAUGUGCUAAGAUGAAUUAUGUAUCUUGUAAAAAACAAACACAUGAAACAGUUUCGAUGCUUCUAUAAAAAAUGUUUGACAAAACCGUAGAGAGAGAGAGAGAGAGAGAGAGAGAGAUAUUUUGCAUCAAGUUCAGGCUUUCAGCAGCUGAACAUAAUGAUGUUGACAAGUCUAUUUUUCCCUCUGACAAGAUAAUCUCUGCAGAAGGGGGGAUAAAGAAGCCAUAUAGUUGAUCGGUUGCUAUUGUAUCAUUUGCAUAACCUAAUGUCAUUUGAGCAAGUCUUUCUCUUAACUCUUUUUGUACAUUAUAUAAUAAGUGUAGAGACAAGACAAACAUGUCAAUAAUUUUAGCCAAUUUUCUCUAUUUUGUUAAUCGUGAAUUGGGCUUAAGUUGUGAUGUGCCAAGAUUUCCCAACCAUUGAACCAACUCCCUAUGCAAAAGCUUUUUGGCCAAUGGACACUUGACGAAUUGGUGACUUUUCCAAAUUGUGCACAUAAAGUAAAAACAAUAUAUUGACCUGUUGGCUGGAAUCUAUUU
rnacentral:lncRNA from 1 species